UCCCUGGUGGUCCAGUGGUUAAGACUCUGUGCUUUCACUACUGAGGGCCUGGGUUCAGUCCCUAGUCAGAGAU
rnacentral:tRNA from 1 species